rnacentral:rRNA from 1 species
AUGAACGCUGGCGGCGUGCCUAAUACAUGCAAGUCGAGCGAACAGACGAGGAGCUUGCUCCUCUGACGUUAGCGGCGGACGGGUGAGUAACACGUGGAUAACCUACCUAUAAGACUGGGAUAACUUCGGGAAACCGGAGCUAAUACCGGAUAAUAUAUUGAACCGCAUGGUUCAAUAGUGAAAGACGGUUUUGCUGUCACUUAUAGAUGGAUCCGCGCCGCAGUAGCUAGUUGGUAAGGUAACGGCUUACCAAGGCGACGAUGCGUAGCCGACCUGAGAGGGUGAUCGGCCACACUGGAACUGAGACACGGUCCAGACUCCUACGGGAGGCAGCAGUAGGGAAUCUUCCGCAAUGGGCGAAAGCCUGACGGAGCAACGCCGCGUGAGUGAUGAAGGUCUUCGGAUCGUAAAACUCUGUUAUUAGGGAAGAACAAAUGUGUAAGUAACUAUGCACGUCUUGACGGUACCUAAUCAGAAAGCCACGGCUAACUACGUG